rnacentral:rRNA from 1 species
AUACAUGCAGUCGAGCGGACAGAAGGGAGCUUGCUCCCGGAUGUUAGCGGCGGACGGGUGAGUAACACGUGGGUAACCUGCCUGUAAGACUGGGAUAACUCCGGGAAACCGGAGCUAAUACCGGAUAGUUCCUUGAACCGCAUGGUUCAAGGAUGAAAGACGGUUUCGGCUGUCACUUACAGAUGGACCCGCGGCGCAUUAGCUAGUUGGUGAGGUAACGGCUCACCAAGGCGACGAUGCGUAGCCGACCUGAGAGGGUGAUCGGCCACACUGGGACUGAGACACGGCCCAGACUCCUACGGGAGGCAGCAGUAGGGAAUCUUCCGCAAUGGACGAAAGUCUGACGGAGCAACGCCGCGUGAGUGAUGAAGGUUUUCGGAUCGUAAAGCUCUGUUGUUAGGGAAGAACAAGUGCAAGAGUAACUGCUUGCACCUUGACGGUACCUAACCAGAAAGCCACGGCUAACUACGUGCCAGCAGCCGCGGUAAUACGUAGGUGGCAAGCGUUGUCCGGAAUUAUUGGGCGUAAAGGGCUCGCAGGCGGUUUCUUAAGUCUGAUGUGAAAGCCCCCGGCUCAACCGGGGAGGGUCAUUGGAAACUGGGAAACUUGAGUGCAGAAGAGGAGAGUGGAAUUCCACGUGUAGCGGUGAAAUGCGUAGAGAUGUGGAGGAACACCAGUGGCGAAGGCGACUCUCUGGUCUGUAACUGACGCUGAGGAGCGAAAGCGUGGGGAGCGAACAGGAUUAGAUACCCUGGUAGUCCACGCCGUAAACGAUGAGUGCUAAGUGUUAGGGGGUUUCCGCCCCUUAGUGCUGCAGCUAACGCAUUAAGCACUCCGCCUGGGGAGUACGGUCGCAAGACUGAAACUCAAAGGAAUUGACGGGGGCCCGCACAAGCGGUGGAGCAUGUGGUUUAAUUCGAAGCAACGCGAAGAACCUUACCAGGUCUUGACAUCCUCUGACAACCCUAGAGAUAGGGCUUUCCCUUCGGGGACAGAGUGACAGGUGGUGCAUGGUUGUCGUCAGCUCGUGUCGUGAGAUGUUGGGUUAAGUCCCGCAACGAGCGCAACCCUUGAUCUUAGUUGCCAGCAUUCAGUUGGGCACUCUAAGGUGACUGCCGGUGACAA